GCAUUGGUGGUGUAACGGUUCAACAUAAGCUCCCGAAAGGAGUGAUAUCUGGGUUCGAAUCCCGGCUGAUGAA